rfam:Prevotella sp. CAG:279 genomic scaffold, scf172
UGCAGCCGGGUAAGUCCUAUACGGCCAGCUCCUUGUCAACUCCCCCAGGUCUUGACCGAAGCAAGGGUAGCAGGUUGUAGCGGCGCGAUAUAGAUCGCUUGCCCACCU